UUAAGUCUUGACGAGUAAGAGGGUCGCGACGGUGAGCGCAGAAGGGUCAGGGCGAGAGCCUGCCUGGAGCCGCCGUUGGUGCAGAUCUUGGUGGUAGUAGCAAAUACUCUAGCGAGGGCCUGGAGGACUGACGUGGAGAAGGGUUUCUUGUGAACAGCCGUUGCACAAGAGUCAGUCGACCCUGAGCCCUAGGAGAAAUCCGAUGACGAUGGGUGGCUUGACAAUAUAUGCGCACACACAAGUACAACAUGACAUGUUGCUCUGUGUAGACACAUUUUAAUCACAGACCACAGACUGUGUCUGUCGUUUAGUAAUGCACAAUGUGCUGCUUACGACUGAACAGCUCCUAUUGGGCAAAAGGGAAUCCGGUUCCUAUUCCGGAACCCGGCUGCGUAACCGCAUCUUUGCGGGCACUUGCUUGCGAGCGCUCGUCGGGGUAACCCAAACUGGCCUGGAGACGCCGGCGGGGGGUCUGGAAAGAGUUUUCUUUUCUUUAUAAGCGUUCGAGUACCCUGGAAUCCUAUAGCAGGGAGAUAGGGUUUGGAACGCGAAGAGCACCGCAGUUGCGGCGGUGUCCGGACCUUCCCCCCGGACCUUGAAAAUCCAGGUGAGGGCCACGCGGAAGUCGCGCCGG
rnacentral:rRNA from 1 species